CCUCCCCAGAGAGAAAUGGGCAGCUCGGUGGCACUCAGCCCAGGUGGUCUCCUGUCCCGUGGCGGCAAGCUGGCAGGUGGAAGGAGGCAAUCGCCCGGCUCUGGGAUGCUGUGGCCCUGGUGGUCUCCCGCCCCGUGUUGGCAAGCUGGCAAGCGGAAGGAGGCAAUCACCCGGUGCUGAGAUGCUGUGGAGAAAGGAGAAGGUAAGUACAAAGUUUAGUUGCUGGUGGGAUCGCUACUUGAAGGCAACUGACACUCAGCUCUGAAGCUGGUUGAUGUCUGGCAAUGGACCUGACGUGGUUGCAGCUGGUGGAUGGUUGUUGGAAGAGUUUGCAUUCAAGCUAGUGGAUGUUGCAAGGCUACGCUGGCUGAGAUGGAUGUAAACUGGUUUGGAAGCCUUGUUUGUUAACAGGCAGCCAAACAGAGGAGGAAUCUGGGGGGACGCUGUCGGGUGUUGGCUAUCCCACUCACCUGUUUGCCUUUGCCUUACAGGGAUGUUUGGAGCUGGUGAGGUUUUCCCCAAGUCCAGCCUUCAAAGUCA